rnacentral:tRNA from 1 species
GGUAUGGCUCAGUGGUGGAGUACCUGUCUGGCAAGUAGGAGGCCCAGAGUUCAAACCUCAGUACUAACA